UCCGGUUCAUCACCGGCAGUCUCCUUAGAGUCCCCACCAUUACAUGUUGGCAACUAAGGAUAAGGGUUGCGCUCGUUACGGGACUUAACCCAACAUCUCACAACACGAGCUGACGACAGCCAUGCAGCACCUGUCUCCACGUGCCUUUCGGCACUCCAGCAUCUCUGCUAGAUUCGUGGGAUGUCAAGGGUAGGUAAGGUUCUUCGCGUUGCAUCGAAUUAAACCACAUGCUCCACCGCUUGUGCGGGCCCCCGUCAAUUCCUUUGAGUUUUAACCUUGCGGCCGUACUCCCCAGGCGGAAGACUUAUCGCGUUAGCUUCGAUACUAAAGAGUCUUGCUCUCCAUCAUCUAGUCUUCAUCGUUUACAGCGUGGACUAC
rnacentral:misc_RNA from 1 species